CCUAAAAAGUAACGGAGGAGCCUAAAGGUCAGCUAGGCGCGAAUGGAAACCGUGCCGAUAGUGUAAUGGCACAAGCUGGCUUAACUGCAAGGCGUACUUGCCGAGCAGGCGCGAAAGCGGAGCAUAGUGAACCGACCAUGCGCAUUAGAUGCGGUGGAAGAUUAUCGGACAAAAGUUACUCUGGGGAUAAACCUUGAGCCGUAACAGGCAAGAAAGGUUCUGUUGUCCUCUCAUGGAGCGAUCCAUGAGGAAUAAACAUGGCUUAUAACGGGGGACUGUAGACGGUCUUUUCCUGAUCUUCGGAUCAGUUUCUCGAUCUACACAAUCCCGUGGGAAGUCUUAUGGACUUCAUUGAGGUGAAGUCCAUAAUGACCCCGUAACGACUGGAUUCAAUUCGCACAAUGUUUGUGCGAUGCGAUGAAGAUAGUGGAAGAGCCGGCUGAAGCCGGAGACACACCACUAUAAGACGCCAUGCAUCUCACUGAGAUGAAGAUAUAGUCUAAAUUACGAAAGUAAAUUGAACAGGCUGGUUUCGCCUAAGAGUCCAAAUCGACGGCGAAGUUCGGCACCUCGAUGUCGGCUCAUCUUAUCCUGGGGCUGGAGAAAACAUACCUUCUCUCCCUUUUCGAAAGGAAAGGGUAAUUAAACAAGCUCAAAACGGUGAAGGCUUAUUCAUGAUCUGGUGACUCCUGUUUCGGAGGUCCCAGGUGCUAUACUAUAAAGUAUGGCAAAAGGCAUGAAAGCUAACGCCGUGGGAAAGAAGUGUGCUGAAGUCGAUCGUGCAUAUAUUGCUGGUCUCGUAGACGGUGAUGGUGCCAUUAUGGCACUCAUCGAGCCGCACAACGAGAAGAAGUUUCGUUUUCGGGUUCGCAUAGAAUUGAAGAUCACGCAAAAAGAUAGGAAGAGUCUCGUAUUUCUUCCUCGUCUCUUGGGGUGUGGAUCGAUUCGCACGAACAGGACGACCUAUGACUGGAUCACACGAGAUCAACAAGAGAUCGUGCGGGUCCUCUCAAUGCUUCGUCCAUAUACGAGAACGAAACGGCGGCAGAUAGAUAUCGCGCUAAAGAUCGCGCAAACUCCUGUACGGAGUAGGGCAGAUCUCAUGCGUGUAGCACGAUGGGCAGAUACAUUGUCUCGGUUCAACGUACGAUCCAAUAAUCGACGUAAGAACCAUGUGGCAAUGAUCCAAGCAUAUUUCUCCCCUAACGACUGAUUGCAAUCAUUUUGGCGAUUGCAUGAGAUAUGCACUAUAUAAAGUGGUAUCACACGGCUUGCACCUGACGGUCGUACGGCGACGUACGAUACAAGGUGAUGGAAUAGUCUGAUCCCCGCGGGAACGCGGGAUAACAAGUGAUAUUUGUACGGCCCGUGCAAAUAUUCAAAAUGAGGUCCCAAGGGUUUGGCUGUUCGCCAAUUAAAAAGGUACGUGAGCUGGGUUCAAACCGUCGUGAGACAGGUUGGUCUUAAUCUGCUGCAGGCGUUGAUUCUUGAGGAGAUUUGUUUCUAGUACGAGAGGACCGAAAUGAACGAACCUCUGGUCUGGGGGCUGUACCGCCAGGUGCACCGCCCCGUAGCUAUGUUCGGAAUGGAUAACCGCUGAAAGCAUCUAAGCGGGAAACCAACUCCAAGAUAAGGAAUCGUUUGAGGGCCGUGAGAGAUGAUCACGUUGAUAGGCACCAGGUGGAAGUGCAGCAAUGCAUUGAGCCGAGGUGUACUAAUCCCCCGACAGAACU
rnacentral:rRNA from 1 species